UCGAUCUCAAAUCAGGUAGGACUACC
rnacentral:rRNA from 1 species